rnacentral:rRNA from 1 species
GGAUACACCUCUUCCCAUUCCGAACAGAGAAGUUAAGCUCACUCACGUUGAUGGUACUGCGUAACAGUGGGAGAGUAGAUAGCCGCCGUUU